rnacentral:rRNA from 1 species
CCAUGGNGGCGCUAUANUGCAAGUCGAGCGGGACAGAAGGGAGCUUGCUCCCGGAUGUUAGCGGCGGACGGGUGAGUAACACGUGGGUAACCUGCCUGUAAGACUGGGAUAACUCCGGGAAACCGGAGCUAAUACCGGAUAGUUCCUUGAACCGCAUGGUUCAAGGAUGAAAGACGGUUUCGGCUGUCACUUACAGAUGGACCCGCGGCGCAUUAGCUAGUUGGUGAGGUAACGGCUCACCAAGGCGACGAUGCGUAGCCGACCUGAGAGGGUGAUCGGCCACACUGGGACUGAGACACGGCCCAGACUCCUACGGGAGGCAGCAGUAGGGAAUCUUCCGCAAUGGACGAAAGUCUGACGGAGCAACGCCGCGUGAGUGAUGAAGGUUUUCGGAUCGUAAAGCUCUGUUGUUAGGGAAGAACAAGUGCAAGAGUAACUGCUUGCACCUUGACGGUACCUAACCAGAAAGCCACGGCUAACUACGUGCCAGCAGCCGCGGUAAUACGUAGGUGGCAAGCGUUGUCCGGAAUUAUUGGGCGUAAAGGGCUCGCAGGCGGUUUCUUAAGUCUGAUGUGAAAGCCCCCGGCUCAACCGGGAAGGGUCAUUGAAAACUGGGAAACUUGAGUGCAAAAGAGGAGAGUGGAAUUCCACGUGUAGCGGUGAAAUGCGUAAAGAUGUGGAGGAACACCAGUGGCGAAGGCGACUCUCUGGUCUGUAACUGACGCUGAGGAGCGAAAGCGUGGGGAGCGAACAGGAUUACAUACCCUGGGUAGUCCCCGCCGUAAACGAUGAAUGCUAA